AGCGAACGUUAGCGGCGGGCCUAACACAUGCAAGUCGAGCGAGAAAGUGGCUUCGGCCAUCAGUAAAGCGGCGGACGGGUGAGUAACACGUAGGUAAUCUUCCCUUGAGCGGGGGACAACGUUUCGAAAGGAACGCUAAUACCGCAUACGUUUCUGGGGACUCCGGUCUCUGGAAGGAAAGCUAGGUCGCAAGAUCCGGCACUCGAGGAGGAGCCUGCGUCGCAUCAGCUAGUUGGGGGGUAACGGCCUACCAAGGCGAAGACGCGUAGCUGGUCUGAGAGGAUGAUCAGCCACACUGGGACUGAGACACGGCCCAGACUCCUACGGGAGGCAGCAGUGGGGAAUCUUGCGCAAUGCGCGAAAGCGUGACGCAGCAACGCCGCGUGGAGGAAGACGGUCUUCGGAUUGUAAACUCCUUUCAGUUGGGACGAAGCUCAAUGGGUUAAUAGCCAGCGGAGUGACGGUACCUUCAGAAGAAG
rnacentral:rRNA from 1 species